UGUGCAUGAUAACUCUUCAAUAUUAUCAAUAUCAUGUUGAAUUGUUAUUGAGGCCAACUCCUUAACAAUGAAGCGAUUAUCAGCUCCUCUGAAUCCUUGAAUGUCUAGAAUGAUCUCCAUUUUUACUGCUCUUGACAACGAAGAGUGACUGAAUGAUGACUCUUACAAUCAAUUCAACCUUUUUAUAACCCGAUCUCUGGAUUUUACCCCCACCACUCGAUAAUCUUAUUGGUUAAUUAUUUUUUCUUGAUUAAUUAAUAAUAAUUUGAUUGGUUAUUCAAACUACACAGUAAAGUUUUGAACUGCGUAGUAGAUGACGUCAUCAGACAGGUUUGAACCUGUUCAAGGUUGUGUAACUGCGCAUUUUUCUUUGUUCUAUUUCUAACUUCGUACUAGAUGACGUCAUCUCAUUUUUACAGGUUAUGUUUAUGCUUUUCCGCCAUUUAACU